GAAUUCACUAGUGAUUCAGGCCUAACACAUGCAAGUCGAGCGGUAGAGAGAAGCUUGCUUCUCUUGAGAGCGGCGGACGGGUGAGUAAUGCCUAGGAAUCUGCCUGGUAGUGGGGGAUAACGUUCGGAAACGGACGCUAAUACCGCAUACGUCCUACGGGAGAAAGCAGGGGACCUUCGGGCCUUGCGCUAUCAGAUGAGCCUAGGUCGGAUUAGCUAGUUGGUGAGGUAAUGGCUCACCAAGGCUACGAUCCGUAACUGGUCUGAGAGGAUGAUCAGUCACACUGGAACUGAGACACGGUCCAGACUCCUACGGGAGGCAGCAGUGGGGAAUAUUGGACAAUGGGCGAAAGCCUGAUCCAGCCAUGCCGCGUGUGUGAAGAAGGUCUUCGGAUUGUAAAGCAAUGUAAGUUGGGAGGAAGGGCAUUAACCUAAUACGUUAGUGUUUGACGUACCGACAGAAU
rnacentral:rRNA from 1 species